rnacentral:rRNA from 2 species
CAUGCCGUAAACGAUGAGUGCUAAGUGUUGGAGGGUUUCCGCCCUUCAGUGCUGCAGCUAACGCAUUAAGCACUCCGCCUGGGGAGUACGACCGCAAGGUUGAAACUCAAAGGAAUUGACGGGGGCCCGCACAAGCGGUGGAGCAUGUGGUUUAAUUCGAUGCUACGCGAAGAACCUUACCAGGUCUUGACAUCUUCUGCCAACCUAAGAGAUUAGGCGUUCCCUUCGGGGACAGAAUGACAGGUGG